rfam:Hafnia alvei FB1, complete genome.
GGGUGCUUAGGACUGUCUGUCUUAAGCAUAGAGUGGUAUGGCAGAUAGGAAAAAGCCCCACCUGAUAUUAAAUCAAGGUGAGGCCAACCCUCAUACGCAGCAGUGUGAGGUUAGCCUCUUCCCCGUUGCAAAACAAGGAAAAGGAAAACCAAA